UAUAUAUAUAUAUACUAUUUUAUCCAGGAUCCAUCAUUAUUCUCAGUGAGAGUGUUCAACUAGCUACUUCGUCAUUAGUGCAAGCCAGAACAUGUGUUUUGAUUUUUGGAUUUAAUGCAAAUGAAAUUAUAUAGUAUGGAUACUUUUCCAUCAAUUUUUAAUGCAAGAUUAUAUUUGUGAUAUUCAUUUAUGCUGUUGCAGAUAUCUACAGUCUGUUCAUUUUUAAAAGUCCUUUUAUACAUUGUGGUAAAGUAUACAUAAAAUUAACUAUUUUAACAGUUUUUGAUGUGCAGGUCAGAUGAAUUAAUCAUGCUCAGAUUGUUCUGCAACCAUCAUCCAUAUUCAUUGGGAAUUUUAUUCAUUUUGCAAAACUGAAUCUCCGUUUCUGUUAAAAAAAAAAACAAAACAAACAGCUUCCCUUUACCUUCUUUUGGCCCCUGGGAACUACUCUUCUACUUUGAGUUUCUAUGAAUGGAACAUCCAUAAGUACCUCAUAGAGUGAAAUCAUACUGUGU
rnacentral:lncRNA from 1 species